rnacentral:rRNA from 1 species
CAGUCGCCACGGGAAUACGGAGGGUGCAAGCGUUAUCCGGAUUUAUUGGGUUUAAAGGGUCCGUAGGCGGAUCUGUAAGUCAGUGGUGAAAUCUCACAGCUUAACUGUGAAACUGCCAUUGAUACUGCAGGUCUUGAGUAAAUUUGAAGUGGCUGGAAUAAGUAGUGUAGCGGUGAAAUGCAUAGAUAUUACUUAGAACACCAAUUGCGAAGGCAGGUCACUAAGAUUUAACUGACGCUGAUGGACGAAAGCGUGGGGAGCGAACAGGAUUAGAUACCCCAGUAGUCCCUGUCUCUUAUAC